CUAACAAGGAUUUCCCUUAGUAACUGCGAGUGAAGAGGGAAAAGCUCAAAUUUAAAAUCUGGCAGUGUUUCACUGUCCGAGUUGUAACCUAGAGAAGUGUAACCUGCGCUGGACCGUGUAUAAGUCUCCUGGAAUGGAGCAUCACAGAGGGUGAGAAUCCCGUCUUUGACAUGGACCACCAGCGCAUUGUGGUUGUGCUCUCAACGAGUCGAGUUGUUUGGGAAUGCAGCUCUAAAUGGGUGGUAAAUUCCAUCUAAAGCUAAAUAUUGGCGAGAGACCGAUAGCGAACAAGUACCGUGAGGGAAAGAUGAAAAGAACUUUGGAAAGAGAGUUAAACAGUAUGUGAAAUUGUUGAAAGGGAAACGUUUGAAGUCAGUCGCGUUGGUUGGGGAUCAGCCUGACAUUGUUGGGUUUACUUCCUGGUCGACGGGCCAACAUCAGUUUUGACUGCCAGAAAAAGGCCAAAGGAAUGUGGCACCUUUGGGUGUGUUAUAGCCCUUGGUCGUAUAUGGUGGUUGGGACUGAGGAAAGCAGCGUGCCGAAAGGCCGGGUUUCGACCACGUUCACGCUGAGGAUGUUGGCAUAAUGGCUUUAAGCGACCCGUCUUGAAACACGGACCAAGGAGUCUAACAUGCAUGCGAGUGUUUGGGUGGAAAACCCUUACGCGUAAUGAAAGUGAAAGUUGAGAUCCCUGUCGCGGGGAGCAUCGACGCCCGGACCAGAACUUUUGGGACGGAUCUGCGGUAGAGCACGUAUGUUGGGACCCGAAAGAUGGUGAACUAUGCCUGAAUAGGGUGAAGCCAGAGGAAACUCUGGUGGAGGCUCGUAGCGAUUCUGACGUGCAAAUCGAUCGUCAAAUUUGGGUAUAGGGGCGAAAGACUAAUCG
rnacentral:rRNA from 1 species